rnacentral:rRNA from 1 species
GACGAACGCUGGCGGCGUGCUUAACACAUGCAAGUCGAGCGGUAAGGCCCUUUCGGGGGUACACGAGCGGCGAACGGGUGAGUAACACGUGGGUGACCUGCCCUUAGCUCUGGGAUAAGCCUGGGAAACUGGGUCUAAUACCGGAUAUGACUCCAUGACGCAUGUUGUGGGGUGGAAAGCCUUGUGCGGCUAGGGAUGGGCCCGCGGCCUAUCAGCUUGUUGGUGGGGUGAUGGCCCACCAAGGCGACGACGGGUAGCCGGCCUGAGAGGGCGACCGGCCACACUGGGACUGAGACACGGCCCAGACUCCUACGGGAGGCAGCAGUGGGGAAUCUUGCGCAAUGGGCGAAAGCCUGACGCAGCGACGCCGCGUGAGGGAUGACGGCCUCGGUU